GCCGCAAGGUUAAAACUCAAAUGAAUUGACGGGGGCCCGCACAAGCGGUGGAGCAUGUGGUUUAAUUCGAUGCAACGCGAAGAACCUUACCUGGUCUUGACAUCCACAGAACUUUCCAGAGAUGGAUAGGUGCCUUCGGGAACUGUGAGACAGGUGCUGCAUGGCUGUCGUCAGCUCGUGUUGUGAAAUGUUGGGUUAAGUCCCGCAACGAGCGCAACCCUUAUCCUUUGUUGCCAGCGGUCCGGCCGGGAACUCAAAGGAGACUGCCAGUGAUAAACUGGAGGAAGGUGGGGAUGACGUCAAGUCAUCAUGGCCCUUACGACCAGGGCUACACACGUGCUACAAUGGCAUAUACAAAGAGAAGCGACCUCGCGAGAGCAAGCGGACCUCAUAAAGUAUGUCGUAGUCCGGAUUGGAGUCUGCAACUCGACUCCAUGAAGUCGGAAUCGCUAGUAAUCGUAGAUCAGAAUGCUACGGUGAAUACGUUCCCGGGCCUUGUACACACCGCCCGUCACACCAUGGGAGUGGGUUGCAAAAGAAGUAGGUAGCUUAACCUUCGGGAGGGCGCUUACCACUUUGUGAUUCAUGACUGGGGUGAAGUCGUAACAAGGUAACCGUAGGGGAACCUGCGGUUGGAUCACCUCCUUA
rnacentral:rRNA from 1 species